UACAGAGGGGGCGAGCGUUGUUCGGAAUUACUGGGCGUAAAGGGCGCGUAGGCGGCCUUCUAAGUCGAACGUGAAAUCCCCGGGCUCAACCCGGGAACUGCGUCCGAUACUGGGAGGCUUGAAUCCGGGAGAGGGAUGUGGAAUUCCAGGUGUAGCGGUGAAAUGCGUAGAUAUCUGGAGGAACACCGGUGGCGAAGGCGGCUCGCUGGGCCGUUGCUGACGCUGAGGCGCGAAAGCGUGGGGAGCAAACAGG
rnacentral:rRNA from 1 species